rnacentral:tRNA from 1 species
AUUUAAAUAGCUUAAAAUAAAGUUUAAUAAUGAAAAUAUUAAGAUAAUUUAUUAAAAUUUUUAAAUA